rnacentral:rRNA from 1 species
AUUGAACGCUGGCGGCAGGCCUAACACAUGCAAGUCGAGCGAGCGGCGGACGUGUUAGUAAUGUCUGGGAAACUGCGUGAUGGAUGAGGAUAACUACUGGAAACGGUAGCCACUAACGCAUGCCAUAAGAUAUGCCCAAUUGGGAUUUGCUUGUGGGUGGGGUAAUGGCUCACCUAGGCGACGAUCCCUAGCUGGUCUGAGAGGAUGACCAGCCACACUGGAACUGAGAAACGGUCCAGACUCCUACGGGAGGCAGCAGUGGGGAAUAUUGCACAAGGGGCGCAAGCCUGAUGCAGCCAUGCCGCGUGUGUGAAGAAGGUCUUCGGGUUGUAAAGGACUUUCAGCGGGGAGGCGUUACCCGCAGAAGAAGCACCGGCUAACUCCGUGCCAGCAGCCGCGGUAAUAC